AUUCUACUCCCUCCGUUCCACAAUACAUGCCUUCUAUUUGUCAAAACAUAGAUGUAUCUUGACAUGUUUUAGUAUACAGGUACAUCCAUUUUUGGACAAAUGGAAGUCAAGUAUUUUGGAACGGAGGGAGUACACA
rfam:Triticum aestivum genome assembly, contig: Triticum_aestivum_CS42_TGACv1_scaffold_146561_2BS